GAUGAACGCUGGCGGCGUGCCUAAUACAUGCAAGUCGAGCGAACAGACGAGGAGCUUGCUCCUCUGACGUUAGCGGCGGACGGGUGAGUAACACGUGGAUAACCUACCUAUAAGACUGGGAUAACUUCGGGAAACCGGAGCUAAUACCGGAUAAUAUAUUGAACCGCAUGGUUCAAUAGUGAAAGACGGUUUUGCUGUCACUUAUAGAUGGAUCCGCGCCGCAUUAGCUAGUUGGUAAGGUAACGGCUUACCAAGGCAACGAUGCGUAGCCGACCUGAGAGGGUGAUCGGCCACACUGGAACUGAGACACGGUCCAGACUACUACGGGAGGCAGCAGUAGGGAAUCUUCCGCAAUGGGCGAAAGCCUGAUGGAGCAACGCCGCGUGAGUGAUGAAGGUCUUCGGAUCGUAAAACUCUGUUAUUAGGGAAGAACAAAUGUGUAAGUAACUAUGCACGUCUUGACGGUACCUAAUCAGAAAGCCACGGCUAACUACGUG
rnacentral:rRNA from 1 species